AUUACCGAGUGCGGGUUCGAACGAGCCCAACCUCCCACCCGUGUUUACUGUUACCGCGUUGCCUCGGCGGGCCCACUGGGGCCUGGCCCCGGUCGCCGGGGGGCUUCUGCCCCCGGGCCCGCUCCCGCCGAAGCACCCUAGAACCCUGCCUGAACAGUGAGUCUGAGUGAGAUUUUAAAUCAUUAAAACUUUCAACAACGGAUCUCUUGGUUCCGGCAUCGAUGAAGAACGCAGCGAAAUGCGAUAAGUAAUGUGAAUUGCAGAAUUCCGUGAAUCAUCGAAUCUUUGAACGCACAUUGCGCCCCCUGGCAUUCCGGGGGGCAUGCCUGUCCGAGCGUCAUUUCUGCCCUCCAGCACGGCUGGGUGUUGGGCGCUGUCCCCCCGGGGACACGCCCCAAAAGCAGUGGCGGCGCCGCGUCGGGUCCUCGAGCGUAUGGGGCUCUGUCACCCGCUCGGGAGGGACUCGGUCGGCGCUGGUCUUCCCUUUAGGCCGCCCUUCGGGGUGCGCCUCUUCCGGUUGACCUCGGAUCAGGUAGGGCUACCCGCUGAACUUAAGCAUAUCAAUAAGCGGAGGAAAAGAAACCAACAGGGAUUGCCUCAGUAACGGCGAGUGAAGCGGCAAGAGCUCAAAUUUGAAAUCUGGCUCCUUCGGGGCCCGAGUUGUAAUUUGGAGAGGAUGCUUCGGGCGUGGCCCCUAUCUAAGUGCCCUGGAACGGG
rnacentral:rRNA from 1 species